GGGCCGAUAGCUCAGUUGGUAGAGCACCUGCUUUGCAAGCAGGGGGUCAGGAGUUCGAGUCUCCUCCGGUCCACCA
rnacentral:tRNA from 1 species